AUUGAACGCUGGCGGCAGGCUUAACACAUGCAAGUCGAGCGGAGAUGAGGUGCUUGCACCUUAUCUAGCGGCGGACGGGUGAGUAAUGCUUAGGAAUCUGCCUAUUAGUGGGGGACAACAUUCCGAAAGGAAUGCUAAUACCGCAUACGCUCUACGGGAGAAAGCAGGGGAUCUUCGGCUCUUUCGCCAAUAGAAGAGGCUAAGUCGGAGUAGCUAGGUGGGGGGGCAAAGGCCUACCAAGGCGACGAUCUGUGGCGGGUCUGAGAGGCUGAUCCGCCACACAGGGACUGAGACACGGCCCAGACUCCUACGGGAGGCAGCAGUGGGGAAUAUUGGACAAUGGGGGGAACCCUGAUCCAGCCAUGCCGCGUGUGUGAAGAAGGCCUUAUGGUUGUAAAGCACUUUAAGCGAGGAGGAGGCUACUGAGACUAAUACUCUUGGAUAGUGGACGUUACUCGCAGAAUAAGCACCGGCUAACUCUGUGCCAGCCGCCGCUGUAACAC
rnacentral:rRNA from 1 species